GACGAACGCUGGCGGCGUGCUUAACACAUGCAAGUCGAGCGGAAAGGUCCUUCGCUUGCCUCGCGCGGCUUACGGGCGAGUAACACGGGAAUAACCUGCCCCCCACUCUGUGAUAACCCGCUGACACGGGGGCUAAUACCGUAUACGACACAGCUUCGCAUAACGGCUGGGUUGAAAGGUUUUCGGUGUGGGUUGGGGUCGCUGCCGAUCAGCUUGUUGGUGGUGUGCUGGCCGCCCAAGGCGACGACGGCUAGCCGGCCUGAGAGGGCGACCGGCCACACUGGGCCUGCGACACGCACCAGACUCCUACGGGCCGCAGCAGUGGAGAGCCUUGCGCAGCGGCGGGACGUCAGAUACAGAGGCCCCGCGUGCGUGAUGCCGGCCUUCGGGUUAUAAACAUAUUUCUACGGAGCCGAGCAGGAAGUGACGGUACCUGCACAAAAAGCGCCGGCCAACUACGUG
rnacentral:rRNA from 1 species